UAUAACUAUUUGAAUGUAGGAAGUGUCAUAAGGUGGGAAAGAAACUAACAUUCUCAGUGCACUUGCCAAAUGCCAGAUGUUAGGCUGAGAGUUCACUGAAGUCUUGUAACCAGAAGAACAAUGUGAUGGAAAUAGCCCCUUGGGAAAAUCACCUUGGCUGGGCUUUGUCGGGUUGGUGAGCAAAGGCUAGGGGAAGAAAUGCCACUUCAAAUCUUACAGACCUCCCAGUCCACAUGCCCAUUGUACAGACAGGGAAGCCAAGACCAGGGAGUGCCAAGUCUCCUGCUUCUCAGCCCAUGCUCUCUUUUCCCCUGCCAGCCCGCUGAACCUACAUGUGGCUUUCCAUGUGGGAAUCACCAAUGGUCAGGGGCUGGGGCUAGGAGCGUGGAGAGUCUCCAGAAGGCUACCAUUACCAUGGGGAGCAGCCUGGAGCUGGCCAGAGGUCAACAGGCCUUUAGAAGUUAAGCAACUCCUCAUUAGCAACGUGGGUGAGGUCCUCCGGGCCAUUACUCUGCUGUGUGUGGACGCCAAGCAGAAUGCUCUUCAGGCUAACCCAAUAUGCUGACUGCUCCGUGGAAGUCCAGGAAUGCCACCUCUAUCCCCAUGCACCUCUGCCUUCCCUCACCUGCACCCCUUCACUCUAUCAUCAAGGUUGUACAGCAUCUGCGUUGGUGACAAAGCACAGACUUAGGGCUGUUUUGGAGGCUGGAUGGGUUCUUAAAAAGAAAACAAGAAAAACACAAAACCCAUCAAAGCCACUAGAAGAGGAGGAGUUGCUGAACCUAAGAAGAGUGUUUGGCAGAGCUACCAGCUGGCCUGGGAAUGACGUGUUGGCCUCAGAGUUUCCCUGUUGAGGCAGAACUUGAACAGCAUGUAGAGUAUGGUUCAAGCUGUCAGUUCAUUAAAUGUGGGGAUGCCAUGGUCACUAAAACACAGCCUCUGUCCUUAAAUGGCUCAUGAGUUAUUAGAAGGAGAAAAGAAAGAAGCUCAGAUGGCUUAACAAGUUCAAAUCUAGUAGCAAGGCUGAUACCCUGUUAACCUCUCUAAUCCACAGAGGACUCACAAAUGGUAACAACAUCAAAGAGCAACAAGGGAACUCAGACAUGCAGAGGGAUGAAAGGCUCCCCGGCUCUAAGAGAGUGGGACGUUGUAAAUGGUGAGAGCCCAGUUCUCACAACCAGGGAACGUGAGUUGUGCCCCUAGCUCUGCCAAUGACCUACUGUAGAACAUGGGGAGAAGUCCCUUCCCUUCUAUGGUCCCGAUUUCUAUGUCUGUGUAAUGAUAGGCUUGGCUUGGAUGAUUACUGAGGGCCUGCUCAGUGCCAAUCUAUGAGUCUGCUGCUUAGGCCAGAACAGUGUCAACAAAUCUGCUAGCAGAUCGGAAGAACUGUCCUAUGCCCAGCCCUGUCUAACUCAUGCCAUCAAGUUCCAUGAAAGUUUGUGUCUGUAAGUUACUCCUAAGCCUAGGGAUUUCUGGUGACAUAGAUAUAAACUAGAGUUAGACUUAGAAGUAGAUUUAGAUACAGAUGAGAUAUAGACACAGACUGGAGAUAUAGGUAUAUGUGUAUAGAUCUACAUAUAUAGAUACAUACGUACGUGUGUGUGUGUGUGUGUGUGUGUAUGUGUGUGAUCUCCCCACUAAGCACCUUUCCUUUCGUGAGGGACACAGACAUGGAGCCACUGAUUUUAUUUGAGUUCAUGUCCUACAUUUAGUGCACUAAAGCCCUCCCCAUUCCUCAAAGCCCAUCUCAAGAACCUCCUCCUCCAAGGAGCCUUCCUUGAUCUCAAAGAGAUGAUCACUCCCGUUUAAAUUACUGAAAGUUACGUUUUGGGCCAUACACGACCGAAUUAUAACAACUACUUAAUUAAUUAUUGCAUAGGAAAGCACUCCCACAAGGCAGAUAAAUUGUUUUUCAAUUUACACAGAGGUUGCCAAGGACACCUGGGCUUCAGACCGCCCUCGUGGAAAUGCAGGUGGAUCAGCCUGCUUCUCGUAGCAGAAGAGGCACUCAGCAAAUGCUUGUCUAUAGGGUUUGCCCAACAAAAACUGAACUUUGGCCCACACCUCAUACCAUACACAAAAAAUAACUCAACAAUUUUUUUACAAACCUAAAUGAAAAAGCUAAAACCCUCAAGAAAAUAUAGGAUAAUAUCUUUAGGACUGGAGAGUAGGCAAAGAUUUCUUAUGCAGAGCAGAAAAAGUGGUUACCACAGAAAAAAACUGAUAAACUACAGCCUGG
rnacentral:lncRNA from 10 species